rnacentral:rRNA from 1 species
UACAGAGGUCCCAAGCGUUGUUCGGAUUCAUUGGGCGUAAAGCGCACGUAGGCGGAUUGUUAAGUCGAGGGGUGAAAUCCUGGAGCUCAACUCCAGAACUGCCUUUGAUACUGGCGAUCUCGAGUCCGGGAGAGGUGAGUGGAACUGCGAGUGUAGAGGUGAAAUUCGUAGAUAUUCGCAAGAACACCAGUGGCGAAGGCGGCUCACUGGCCCGGUACUGACGCUGAGGUGCGAAAGCGUGGGGAGCAAACAGG